AACGAACGCUGGCGGUGUGCUUAACACAUGCAAGUCGAACGAGAAAGUUUCCUUCGGGAAGCGAGUAAAGUGGCGCAAGGGUGAGUAACACGUGAAUAAUCUACCCCCGAGACUGGGGUAACCUGGUGAAAACUAGGCUAAUACCGGAUAAGACCACGUCCCGCAAGGGAUGCGGAAAAAGGAGGCUCAACCCUCCACUUGGAGAUGAGUUCGCGGACCAUUAGCUUGUUGGUGAGAUAAAAGCUCACCAAGGCUACGAUGGAUAGCCGGCCUGAGAGGGUGAACGGCCACACUGGAACUGGAGACACGGUCCAGACUCCUACGGGAGCAGCAGUGGGGAAUAUUGCGCAAUGGGCGAAAGCCCUGACGCAGCAACACCGCGUGAGCGAUG
rnacentral:rRNA from 1 species